rnacentral:rRNA from 1 species
UGUAAAGCUUUUGCGGUUUGGGAGGAGUCUGCGUUGUAUCAGGUUGUUGGUGAGGUAAUAGCUCACCAAGCCACUGACGCAUAGCGGGUGUGAGAGCAUGACCCGCCAGAAUGGGACUGAGACACGGCCCAUACUCCUACGGGAGGCAGCAGUGAGGAAUCUUCCGCAAUGGGCGAAAGCCUGACGGAGCCAUACCGCGUGUAGGAUGACACCUUUCGGGGCGUAAACUACUUUUCUGAAGGAAGACAUUCUGACGGUACUUCAGGAAUAAAGGUCGGCUAACUACGUGCCAGCAGCCGCGGUAAUACGUAGGACCUAAGCGUUAUCCGGAAUCACUGGGCGUAAAGCGAUCGAAGGCGGACCAGUAAGUCUGAUGUUAAAUACCCACGGCUCAACCGGGGUGCUGCGUUGGAAACUGCUGGCCUAGAGUAAGACAGAGGUAGCUGGAAUUCUUGUUGUAGGGGUUAAAUCCGUAGAUCACAAGAGGAACACCAAAAGCGAAGGCAUGCUACUGGGUCUUUACUGACGCUGCGCGAUCGACAGCGUGGGGAGCGAAAGGGAUUAGAUACCCCUGUAGUCCACGCCGUAAA